rnacentral:miRNA from 1 species
GGGCCUGGGAUUCUGCAUUUCUAACAAGUGCUCAGGUG